rnacentral:rRNA from 1 species
UACAGAGGGUGCGAGCGUUAAUCGGAAUUACUGGGCGUAAAGCGUGCGCAGAUGGUUACGUAAGUCGGAUGUGAAAUCCCCAGGCUUAACCUGGGAACUGCAUCCGAUACUGGAUGGCUUGAAUCCGGGAGAGGGAUGCGGAAUUCCAGGUGUAGCGGUGAAAUGCGUAGAUAUCUGGAGGAACACCGGUGGCGAAGGCGGCAUCCUGGACCGGCAUUGACGCUGAGGAGCGAAAGCCAGGGGAGCAAACGGG